rnacentral:rRNA from 1 species
AUUGAACGCUGGCGGCAGGCCUAACACAUGCAAGUCGCACGAGUGGCGGACGGGUGAGUACUGUCUGGGAAACUGCCUGAUGGUGGGGGAUCACUACUGGAAACGGUAGCUAAUACCGCAUACCAUCAGAUGUGCCCAGGUGGGAUUUGCUUUUUGGUGGGGUAACGGCUCACCAAAGCGACGAUCCCUAGCUGGUCUGAGAGGAUGACCAGCCACACUAGAAAUGCGACACGGGCCAGAGGCCUACGUGAGGCAGCAGUGGGGAAUAGUGCACAAUGGGCGCAAGCCUGAUGCAGCCAUGCCGCGUGUAUGAAGAAGGCCUUCGGGUUGUAUAGUACUUGCAGCGGGGAGGCGUUACCCGCAGAAGAAGCACCGGGUAACUCCGUGCCAGCAGCCGCGGUAAUAC